CCUGAGAAACCCAAAAGAUCGAAUGGGGAGAUUCAUCGACGACGAAGCUGGCUCCCGUUGGCGUGCGAUUCCCCCGUUGGGACCUCGGUUCCAGANCGCGGGGUACACCCCUUCGGCGAAUAACCGGCGACGUAGUCGUGCACUUCUCCCUUAGUAGAACGUCGCGACCCGUUGUGUGUCGGUCUACGGCCUGGGCUAUUUGCCUGUCGCGGUGGCAUUCGUUCGCUCGCGGCAGAGGCUCGGUCGCCCGGCCGGCUGCACGACGGUACUCCGACGGUAUCGGGCCGCAACCAAUCCAUUCUCGAAUGGUAUAUGCGUCCAGGCCCGUCGCAAGCUCGGACAGCACCCGGAGCGUGUGGACGCAGUGCCCUCCCCGGGUCUGGCCAGCUGUUAGCAGACGGUGUCCUCGGACCGGCCAAGCUUCGAAUUACCGGUCAGCGACGCUAUUGCUUUGGGUACUCUCAGGACCCGUCUUGAAACACGGACCAAGGAGUCUAACAUGUGCGCGAGUCAUUGGGACAUUGAAACCUAAAGGCGAAAUGAAAGUGAAAGUCGUCGUAAGCGUCGACCAAGGGAGGAUGGGCAGCGUCACGUCGCGGCCUCGCACUCCCGGGGCGUCUCGUUCUCGUUGAGAAGAGGCGCACCCAGAGCGUACACGUU
rnacentral:rRNA from 1 species